GAUGAACGCUAGCUACAGGCUUAACACAUGCAAGUCGAGGGGCAUCAGGAACAUAGCUUGCUAUGUUUGCUGGCGACCGGCGCACGGGUGCGUAACACGUAUCCAAUCUGCCCGUUACUCGGGGAUAGCCUUUCGAAAGAAAGAUUAAUGCCCGAUAGUAUUAUUUAUAGGCGUCUAUUUAUAAUUAAAGAUUUAUCGGUAACGGAUGAGGAUGCGUAUGAUUAGUUAGUUGGCGGGGUAACGGCCCACCAAGACUACGAUCAUUAGGGGUUCUGAGAGGAAGGUCCCCCACACUGGAACUGAGACACGGUCCAG
rnacentral:rRNA from 1 species